ACGAACUGUGCGAACGUUAUUCGGAAUCACUGGGCUUACAGGGUGCGUAGGCGGCUUUUCAAGUCAGGUGUGAAAGCCCCCGGCUCAACCGGGGAAUUGCGCUUGAAACUGGAGAGCUCGAGUCAGCUAGAGGUGCACGGAACUUCCAGUGGAGCGGUGAAAUGCGUUGAUAUUGGAAGGAACACCGGAGGCGAAAGCGGUGCACUGGGGCUGGUCUGACGCUGAGGCACGAAAGCCAGGGUAGCGAACGGGA
rnacentral:rRNA from 1 species